rnacentral:tRNA from 1 species
CAAGUGAUAAUUUAUAAAAAAUAAUAGCUUUGGGGGCUUUAUAUCUCCUCCGGGAGUCACUUGA